GUUGGUGAUUUAAAAAUUAUUAUUAUCAUUAUCAUCAGUGUGUGUGUGUGUGUGUGUGUGUGUGUGUGUGUGUGUGUGUAUGUGUGUGUGUAUGUAUGUAUGCGCAUGUGUGGUGUGGGUCUGAGUGCCGGCUUUCAGAAGUUGGUUCUCUCCUUCUACCAUUGUUCCUGGGGACAGAACACAUUGGAAUACUUGCAUGGUGAGCACUUUGUUUCCCGUGGCAUCUUGCUGACCCUAGUUUAGCAUUUUGUUUGUACAGCCUUUAUCUGUUUUUUGUAUCAGGAUAACAUCACUAUCUAAAAGGAGUUGGGCAUUUCAAGAAGUUAUUGUGUAAAAUGGACAUCAUGAUUCUUCUCCUCACGGCAAGCUUGACUACUUUUUGGCUAAUCUGGAUCCAGUCUAGACAAUAGGCUAAGUACCACAUCUAUGACCAGGUCCCCACCCAUCUUGAAGGUUGAGUUCAUCUUAAUCUUAGCUUUAUAUGACUUUAAAAUUUGUACCCUCCCAUCUGUAAGCAGACUUCCCGUGUAUAUCUGUCUGUGUUAUUGAUUAGUACCCUCCCCUCUGUGAGCGCACCCCUGUAUAUGUCUGUCUGGGUCAUUGGCCCACCCACUUGUGCUUUUUCACUGAGCACGUUUUGAGCAGCAGACCCCUGACUGGACACUUGGAACCCAGGGUCCCUUAUCAUAGCUCAUCUUCCUUUCUUCCUUUUCCCUCACCACUGGUUCUGAGCUGCAUUUAGCUAUGAAGCCGCCUGCAGCUAGUUCUACGAAGCCACGAAGCCUCCAGCAGACAGCUCUACAGAGUCUGCAAAGCCACCCGCAGCCAGCCCUAUGGAGCUGCAAAGCCGCCUGCAGCCAGCUCUCCAAAGCCAGGAAGCUGCCUGCAGCCAGCUCUCUGCAUUUCUCCACUCUUGCUGACCUCAUUCUUAUAGGGAGGGACAGCUGAGCCAGUUCUCUCGGAUAGAUCGUCCAUUUGCGCUUAUGUCUCUACUUAGCACCACAACAUGGUGACUGUAACUCAUGAAACUGUAUUAUUACCUUACAGUUCUGAAGGUGGUCUCCAGAAGAGCUCAUCGGCAUUCAAUGGAUUACUGGCAAAGCUGUGUUCCUUCUUCAGGCUCCGGAGAGUCCGUUUACUGCCUAUUCUAGUUUCCGGAAGUUGCCUGAGUUCUUCAGCUUCUUGCUCCCUUUCCCUCAGCGUCAAGAAUAUAUAAAUUUCACCUCUCCUGUGCUGACCAUUACUGGGUAUGCUAUUAUAAACAUUCUUUUGUCUACGCUGUCCAUUAUA
rnacentral:lncRNA from 1 species